AUUCAAAGUAAAAAAAAAUGUACAGUAAGUAAAGUAUUUGUACUGUUACUUUACACCACUGUCAAUGGAUGUGUAAUUCAGUGUAUUAUUCUGUUCAGAUUAGAAUACUGUAAACUCACUGGUCAGUGUUGUGAAAUUCUGGCAUCAGUUCUACAAUCAUCAAACUCCUGUCUGAUAGAGCUGGACAUGAGUUUCAAUGACCUGCAGGACUCCGGAGUAAAGCUGCUCUCUGAUGGACUGAAAAGCCCAAACUGUCAGCUGGAGAAACUGAGAUUAUGUGGCUGUAAGGUGACAGAUAUAGGCUGUGGUUAUCUGGCUUCAGCUUUGCGUUCAAACCCCUCACACCUGAGAGAGCUAGAUCUGAGAGGCAAUAACCUGGGAGAAUCAGGAGUCAAGAUGCUCUCUGAUCUACUGAAUGAUCCAAACUGCACACUGAACAAAUUCAUGUAUGUUGAGCAGUAAGAUUUAUCUAAUCCUGUGAAUGUUUGUUUUUGCAUUUCAGUCUUACCAUCAACAAGUGUACAGUGGAGUGAAAUGUGGAAAGGGUCUGUAGUAAAGCUGCGUUGAAGAAAAGAUUACGUUUGCUACAAUAUCAGUCUCAAUGAGUAGGCCUUCUUAAAAAAGAUAGUUCACCCAAACAUUUAAUAUCUGGCAUUAUUUACUCACUUUCACGUCAUCCAAACCUGUAUGCCUUUCUUUUUUCUGUGGAACACAAAAGACAUUUUCUUUUCAGUAUGAAAAGUCUCAGGGCCCUAUUUUAAUGUUCUAAGUGCAUGGUCUGAAGCACAUGGCGCAGGUGUACUUAGGGCGUUUCCGAAUUCACUUUUGCUAGUUUAACAACAGAUUAAAUGCUUUUCGUUUAACCUUGUUUUCAGACCAGCAUGAACAGAUGGGCACAAGUUCAUUUGCAUUUGUUAAACGAUGUGCUCUCAGUGUUUUUUCCUUUACAAUAGAUAUCAGUGGUCACCUAAACUUCAAAAUAUCAUCAUUUGUGUUCAGCAGAAGAAAUCCAUGUAGGUUUGGAAACACAUGAGAUAAUUUUUUUAAUAAUUUAAAAUUAUUAGGUUAUUAGGUUAUAUUUGGCUCAGAAUCAGUGGAUUGCUUCUUUAGUAAGAAUAUAACAAUGUUGUGCUUAGACUGACAGGUUUGUCUUAUUUCCUCUUUGAGUGACUGCACAUGAUCUGCUGUACAGCUUCAUUGUCUUCACAAUCAAGGGAUCAUUUUGACAAGCUAGCACACGUUUGAGAGACCGGUAUAUCUGACACUGGAUCCAAACACAGCAGACACUCGUCUCAUUCUGUCUGAGGAGAACAGAAAUAUGACACAUGUUUGAGGAUGAUUUGGAUUAAAAAAAAAUACCCUGGAGUCUGAACAGUUCUGGUUACAGUUUCACUGGCUGUCACAAUAAUCAGAGAACAUCAUAUUUGCCCCUUCAUCCAUCCAUCCAUCUGACCGGCCAGUAUUUUGUUCUUCUACAGCAUCUGUGACACUCACAAACAUUCAACACAAUGAGUUUACAUGUUCACUUGUGAGCAAUUUUUUCCCUCACUUGGUUUUUAUACAUGUUUAAAUGUUUCUGAGGAACAGGAAGAAGUAAACUGCAGAAAUGUUUAUUGCUGCUGCUUCACAAAUUGGAUAAUUUCUGAGGUUAGUUAUAUGAAAACACUUCACUGGGACCUUGUCUUUAAAUGUCUUUGCAUUUGUUUUCAAAAAAAAAAAAAAAAAAUUAAAAUAUGAAAUUCUAUAUUCUAUAUCUCUCAGAGAAUAAAAAAGGGCCAAAAUCUGUCACUGGGGCAGAACCCAUAUGGUACACCUUUAUACCUCAUUUACCUUUUAAAGGUACAUAUUAGUGCUUUUGACAGCUUUUGUACCUUUUAUUCAGUUUUUUUUUUCUGAUUAAACAUUUCUUCUGCCUAAACAGUCCGUAACUUUUUGUUGUUGUUGUGGUUUCCAAAAUCAUUUUUUUUUUGAGCAAGUACAUAACCAGCCCUCUCCUUACCUUAGCUCGAUUCACAACGGUAAGCUUGCAAUAAUGUUAUCUAAUUAUUGGCAAGGGUGUAGAUUUGGUUUCAACAUUGGGAGGGAUGAACGUUGGUAUGC